rnacentral:rRNA from 1 species
AACGAACGCUGGCGGCAUGCCUAACACAUGCAAGUCGAACGAGACCUUCGGGUCUAGUGGCGCACGGGUGCGUAACGCGUGGGAACCUGCCCUUAGGUUCGGAAUAACUCCCCGAAAGGGGUGCUAAUACCGGAUAAUGUCUUCGGACCAAAGAUUUAUCGCCUUUGGAUGGGCCCGCGUUGGAUUAGCUAGUUGGUAGGGUAAAAGCCUACCAAGGCGACGAUCCAUGGCUGGUCUGAGAGGAUGAUCAGCCACACUGGGACUGAGACACGGCCCAGACUCCUACGGGAGGCAGCAGUGGGGAAUAUUGGACAAUGGGCGAAAGCCUGAUCCAGCAAUGCCGCGUGAGUGAAGAAGGCCUUAGGGUUGUAAAGCUCUUUUACCCGGGAUGAUAAUGACAGUACCGGGAGAAUAAGCUCCGGCUAACUCCGUG